AAACUUUCAACAAUGGAUCUCUUGGCUCUGGCAUCGAUGAAGAACGCAGCAAAAUGCGAUAAGUAGUGUGAAUUGCAGAAUUCCGUGAAUCAUCGAAUCUUUGAACGCACAUUGCGCCCUUUGGUAUUCCUUAGGGCAUGCCUGUUCGAGCGUCAUAA
rnacentral:rRNA from 1 species